GAUGAACGCUGGCGGCGUGCCUAAUACAUGCAAGUCGAGCGAACGGACGAGAAGCUUGCUUCUCUGAUGUUAGCGGCGGACGGGUGAGUAACACGUGGAUAACCUACCUAUAAGACUGGGAUAACUUCGGGAAACCGGAGCUAAUACCGGAUAAUAUUUUGAACCGCAUGGUUCAAAAGUGAAAGACGGUCUUGCUGUCACUUAUAGAUGGAUCCGCGCUGCAUUAGCUAGUUGGUAAGGUAACGGCUUACCAAGGCAACGAUGCAUAGCCGACCUGAGAGGGUGAUCGGCCACACUGGAACUGAGACACGGUCCAGACUCCUACGGGAGGCAGCAGUAGGGAAUCUUCCGCAAUGGGCGAAAGCCUGACGGAGCAACGCCGCGUGAGUGAUGAAGGUCUUCGGAUCGUAAAACUCUGUUAUUAGGGAAGAACAUAUGUGUAAGUAACUGUGCACAUCUUGACGGUACCUAAUCAGAAAGCCACGGCUAACUACGUGUCAGCAGCCGCGGUAAUACGUAGGUGGCAAGCGUUAUCCGGAAUUAUUGGGCGUAAAGCGCGCGUAGGCGGUUUUUUAAGUCUGAUGUGAAAGCCCACGGCUCAACCGUGGAGGGUCAUUGGAAACUGGAAAACUUGAGUGCAGAAGAGGAAAGUGGAAUUCCAUGUGUAGCGGUGAAAUGCGCAGAGAUAUGGAGGAACACCAGUGGCGAAGGCGACUUUCUGGUCUGUAACUGACGCUGAUGUGCGAAAGCGUGGGGAUCAAACAGGAUUAGAUACCCUGGUAGUCCACGCCGUAAACGAUGAGUGCUAAGUGUUAGGGGGUUUCCGCCCCUUAGUGCUGCAGCUAACGCAUUAAGCACUCCGCCUGGGGAGUACGACCGCAAGGUUGAAACUCAAAGGAAUUGACGGGGACCCGCACAAGCGGUGGAGCAUGUGGUUUAAUUCGAAGCAACGCGAAGAACCUUACCAAAUCUUGACAUCCUUUGACAACUCUAGAGAUAGAGCCUUCCCCUUCGGGGGACAAAGUGACAGGUGGUGCAUGGUUGUCGUCAGCUCGUGUCGUGAGAUGUUGGGUUAAGUCCCGCAACGAGCGCAACCCUUAAGCUUAGUUGCCAUCAUUAAGUUGGGCACUCUAAGUUGACUGCCGGUGACAAACCGGAGGAAGGUGGGGAUGACGUCAAAUCAUCAUGCCCCUUAUGAUUUGGGCUACACACGUGCUACAAUGGACAAUACAAAGGGCAGCGAAACCGCGAGGUCAAGCAAAUCCCAUAAAGUUGUUCUCAGUUCGGAUUGUAGUCUGCAACUCGACUACAUGAAGCUGGAAUCGCUAGUAAUCGUAGAUCAGCAUGCUACGGUGAAUACGUUCCCGGGUCU
rnacentral:rRNA from 1 species